GGAAAGAGGAUGAGAAGAGGAAGAUGAGAGCUGGGUUGCAGUGUGAGCCUGCUUCGCCCAGCCCCACAAUCCCUGCUAAGGGUAAGGAAGUCUCACCCCCCAGGCCCCACCUGCGGGAACAAGGUGUACUCCAAGUAUGUGACAAGAGAACUUCAGAAAUUCAAACCAUUCCUCAUCCAGAUUUCCACAGCUGGAAUUUGCCCUGCCAACUCAUUGCCAUGUUUCAGCAGAGAGAUGGGGGAUGUCAGUGUUCUCGUUUCCCAUUCAAACCACAUACUCGAUGGCAAGCAAGAUGAAUGGGCCUGGGAGUUUCCUGGGGAGAAGAGAAGAGACAGAAAAGGAGAAAGAAGAUCCUUCUUCAUUUUGUCCUCUUCCAGCCAGCAUGGCUUCACAUGGCUGCCUCCCUCAUCAUCCAAUACUGAACCCACUAUCCCCUGGACCACUUCAGCAGCUGACUGGGGACCUACAAGUUCCUGAGCCUCUGUAAACUGUUUCCUAUUUGGUGACUGGGGAGAAGAUCAGUACAUGGCUGUUCAUGAUGAGUUGUGGCCAACACUUCUUCCAAAUGGGGCUCUUCUCCUUGUAUUCCUCGGCCAGAGAAUGCAAAGGCAUGCUCAGCUCUCAAAAGGUUUGCAUUUCUAGAACUGAAAGUAAAAGCUGACCACCUUGCCUUCUUCCCAAGAGACUCCAAAGAGCCGCUCUUCACAUGGACUUGGCC